rnacentral:piRNA from 1 species
UGGAGUUAUGUUCCUAGGAGGAUUAUGGC